rnacentral:rRNA from 1 species
AGGACGAACGCUGGCGGCGUGCUUAAUACAUGCAAGUCGAGCGAGGCCUUGGAAUUGGAGUCCUUCGGGAUGAAGAGUCCUUGGCCUAGCGGCGGACGGGUGAGUAACGCGUGGGCAACCUACCCCAAAGUCCGGGAUAACAGUGGGAAACCGCUGCUAAUACCGGAUGGCUUUACCUGAGGGCAUCCUUGGGUAAAGAAAGGUUACGCUUUGGGAUGGGCCCGCGUCCCAUUAGCUAGUUGGUGAGGUAACGGCUCACCAAGGCGACGAUGGGUAGCCGGCCUGAGAGGGUGAACGGCCACACUGGGACUGAGACACGGCCCAGACUCCUACGGGAGGCAGCAGUAGGGAAUAUUGCGCAAUGGGCGGAAGCCUGACGCAGCGACGCCGCGUGAGCGAAGAAGGCCUUCGGGUCGUAAAGCUCUGUCCUUGGGGAAGAAGGCGAAAGCUUGACGGUACCCAAGAAGAAAGCCCCGGCUAACUACGUG